rnacentral:lncRNA from 1 species
CGGGACCGAAGAGGUGACAGCCUCGGCGGGGCGGCGCUAGGCGGCAGUGACCGCCAGAGUCCCGGGUGCGUGUGCACGUGUGUGUGCGCACGUGUGCGCGCGCUCCGCCCGGUCCCGGGCAGCCACCUGUCACUCACGGGGGCAAAGGGGCCGCGGCGGAGAGGACGCAGAGGGGGCGGGGCGGCGGCCGGAGAGGGGCGGCGCCGAGGCCGGUCCCGCGGAGGCCCUCCCGGCGGAACCCCGCGUGCUGCAGCCAUGGAGACGCGGUAAUCCCCUCCUCCGGCCCGCGCCCCGGCCCCCGCAGCCGUCGCCGAUUGGUCGCCCUUUGCUCCCUGACCCUCUCGCCGCCUCCGAGGCCACCGCUUCCUGCUCGGUUGCCGCGCCGCGCUCCCGGCCCGGGGCGGAGCUCGGGCGCCGGGCGCGCGCCGCUUUCGCCGCGGCCGAGCAGCAGCCGGCGCCGGAGGAGGAGCCGCCGCCGCGCCCUUCCCCUUCCUCCGCUCCUCCCCCGGCCCUCUCCCCGCCCGCGCCGGCCCCAGGCAGCACUUGCGAGCAGCGGCGGCCGCGGCCGGCGGCCGAAAGGGGAGAAUGCGGCGGCGCUCGCGGAUGCUGCUCUGCUUCGCCUUCCUGUGGGUGCUGGGCAUCGCCUACUACAUGUACUCGGGGGGCGGCUCCGCGCUGGCCGCGGGCGCGGGCGGCAGCGCCGGCAGGAAGAUCUUUGGGGAGCGGGAAGUAAGUUUUGUAAGAUGUCGAUUUCAAAGCAGGCAACGCUGUGCUCCUGCCUUCUAGCAAAUCUGAGGCAGUUGGCUUGGUGGAAGGAAGAGGAGGAGGAGGUGGUGGUGGUGUUGAGGGUGAGGCCGCCUGGGGCAGAGACCGAGGCACACGCAGGAGUUGACUUUGAGGUUCUGGCUGAGAUCCCAGGAAAGACACAGGGUAUUCCUGGGGAAAAAAAUCUACGAAGUCUCCUAGCUGGCCCAGCAGAAUUUGUGUGA